CCCCCGCGCGUGCUCCGUGUCGCGCGCAGCUCCGGGGCCGUACUGCCGCUUCGGCCUUCUGCUGUCCGGGAGGUUGAUACCCCCAAACUAAACUUACGAAGCUGAAUACGGGAGCACUUUGGAGACAAAAAUCUUCCCUCUUCUGUGGUCUCUGCUUUGCACCUCUUCGUUCCGUGGGCAAGUUUAGGGCGGCAAGUACCAGCCUGCGGAGUUCCGGCUGACAGGGGCCUCGGCCGGACCAGACGCCGCUGCUGCCGGAUGUUGCGAUGGUUGAUCGGGGGAGGCCGAGAACCCCAGGGACUGGCCGAGAAAUCUCCUUUACAGACAGUAGAUGAAGAACAGACCCGGAACCCCUACACUGAGCUGCUGGUACUGAAAGCACAUCAUGAUAUCGUACGAUUUCUGGUCCGGUUGGAUGAUUACAGAUUUGCAUCUGCUGGUGAUGAUGGAAUUGUAGUUGUGUGGAAUGCCCAGACAGGAGAAAAACUUUUGGAACUCAGAGCACACACUCAAAAGAUAACAGCUAUUAUUCCAUUUCCUUCUUUGGAAUCAAGUGAAGAAAAACAUCAGCUGAUUUUGACUGCCUCUGCUGAUAGAACAGUUAUUGUAUGGGAUUGUGAUACUGGCAGACAAGUUCAGAAAGUAUCGUGCUUCCAGUCCACUGUAAAGUGUUUAACUGUUCUUCAGAGACUAGAUGUUUGGAUUUCUGGUGGGAAUGACCUGUGUGUUUGGAACCAAGAAUUAGAUCUGCUGUGUAAGACUAGUCACCUUUCUGAUACAGGUGUCAGUGCUGUCAUUGAAAUACCCAGGAACUGUGUUGUAGCGGCAGUUGGCAAAGAACUGAUAAUUUUUAGGUUGAUAGCACCCACAAAAGGAUCACUAGAAUGGGAUAUUCUUGAAGUUAAGCACCUCUAUGAUCAUCAGGAUAAUAUUCUUUCAUUGAUAAACAUCAAUGAUUUGAGUUUUGUUACUGGCUCCCAUGUUGGAGAGCUGAUUGUCUGGGAUAUCCUGGACUGGACCAUGCAGGCCUACGAGCAAAACUUCUGGAACCCCUCUCUGCAGCUGGACACACAGCAAGAAAUAAAACUUUGUCAAAAACCAAAUGAUAUUUCCAUCCAUCAUUUCACAUGUGAUGAAGAGAAUGUAUUUGCUGCAGUUGGAAGGGGAUUAUAUGUGUAUAACCUUCAAAUGAAGCGUGUUAUUGCCUGUCAGAAAACUGCACAUGACUCCAAUGUCCUGCACAUUGCCAAACUUCCAAACAGGCAGUUAAUCUCAUGCUCGGAAGAUGGCAGUGUACGCAUUUGGGAGUUAAGAGAAAAACAGCAGCUUACAGCUGAGCCGGUACCAACAGGUUUUUUUAACAUGUGGGGAUUCGGAAGGGUGAACAAACAAGCCAGCCAACUUGUUAAAAAGCAACAAGAAAAUGCCACUUCAUGUUCACUGGAGUUUAUUGGAGAUUUGAUUGGACACUCAUCAUCUGUGGAGAUGUUUCUAUACUUUGAAGAUCAUGGACUAGUGACUUGCUCUGCUGAUCACCUCAUUAUUUUGUGGAAAAAUGGCGAGCGAGAAUCUGGAUUGCGCAGUUUAAAAUUAUUUCAAAAAUUAGAGGAAAAUGGUGACUUGUAUUUUGCUGUCUAAUAUGAAGGAAUUAGCAGUACAUGAACGUGAACCUUGAAAAUCAAAUAUAUAGGUUAAUGCAAAUUAACAGAAGAAUGGAAAAAUUAGCACUGACUUUUAGCCAUCAAAUUGCUGUUCUGGCAUAUUUGAGUCGCCGCACGGAAGCAGCUUUCUGAUCUUUCAUCCUGAAAUUGGAACAUGAGUGGUAUCCCUAAACAAGCAGACAUGCAACCUGGUCUGAGUGCAUCAGAUUUUUUAUUAAUUUGGUUAAGUAUCUCACAGUCAUGUUCAGGCUUUUAACUUUCCUAUUUAGCUGGACUUUCUCCCAUAUUAGCUAGCUUUUUCUUUGGAAAGUCUGUAUUAGGUCAGGAGGUUGUAAAGUUGUUUUCUUGAACUUUUUAAGGCAUAUCCAAUGAAUUAUAUAAGGAACGCAUAGAUUUUUAAGUGUUUUGUUUCGUAACCUGUUCUGAUUAUUUUGUGAUAGUAAUAUAUUCAAAUGGAGUAUUUAAAGUACACGAGUUUUGGAAACAAAAAAGUACCAUAGAACAUCCCUUCUGUCAUUAAACUCUAGUAUAGUGUUCCACCAUGAGACAAACUACAGCUAGAGGCAGCCUCCAACCUUUUCACUGAUGAUGAUAUUUGCUUUCAUAAGUGCCCUAAGGUAAGAGAGAUGGAGGAUAACAGCAUAAUGGAAGAUUCUGGUAGGGACUCAAAACUGAUGGCUGCUCAGUAGUUGUGUGUAGACUGCUGCUAAAAGUUAACCUUUCAAUUUAGUAGAGUAAAAUUAAAAUUAAGAUCAACAUACACUAUGUGCAUUUUUCCUAUUCCCCUAAUUUAGCUUUCAGCAUUUACGAUAUUAUGUUACCAGAAGUAACAAUAUGUAGUGUGCCUUGUCAUUUUUAUUUUAAAAUACAUUUAUACCUCAAAUUCUGGCUGUACUUAACACCAUUAAGAGCGUAAACUUCAGGGGCAUUGGGUCAUCCCUUCCAUUUAUCUCUCUAAUGAGUGGUUCUGAUGGAACUGAUGGGGCUUGUUCUGUGCCCAGAAGAUUAACCAGUCCAGACUCUGAGCACACAUGAAUUUUCAAAAUCUUAAAAGUAAAGAAUAACUUAAUUAAAGUAUAGGGUCAUCUGGGUCCAAGUAACAAUGUUUGUAUCUGAUCUCCUUUUCCUGGUUAAGCAGUAGUAAAAAGGUGACUUUUCUCCAAAUUAGAUAAUGUUGCAUUUUCCUAAAUUAAUAUGGCUCCCCUCAACACACAAUGUGUAUUAAGUUGGUAUCAGAGACAAAUUAUAAUAGAUUAUACCCAAUGACACACAUACCAUCUGAAAGACUCAAAUUGACUAUAUGGAGGAAUGUGCUAUUUAGUGUUAGCAAUUCCAUAAAAACCUGUAGAUGACUGAUAAAGCUUCAGAAUAGCUCUGUUCUUUAUUACCAGGUUGUAAUAAAGCAUUUAAUAGUCACACAUUAAUUUUAAAAUUUGAAGUUAAUAUGAAAUCAAUUAAGCUUUAAUGUUUCAUAUAGAUAAUGUCAACCACCUGGUAAAUGUUACUUACCAAAUGGAACUAAAAGCGAGAUGGUCAGAAAAAGAUUGUCCUUGCCUCUGAAGCUAGGGAAAUUAUUUAGCUUCUUACAAUGGUAGUCUGACAUCCUGAUUUUAAUGUGGUCUGAAAAUAAAGUGUGUGACUCAUGAAACAAAGGAAACUAAAACAAAAUCUUGAAAUUAUGAAAAAUUUAGACCGAAGAGGUAAAAUAAAAACAGUUGUUGGGGAAGAUACUACAAGAAAGACCAAUAUCUCUUAUGAAUAUAGAUGUAAAAA